rnacentral:rRNA from 1 species
GAUCGGCCCGCGUCGGAUUAGCUAGUUGGUGGGGUAAAAGCCUACCAAGGCGACGAUCCGUAGCUGGUUUGAGAGAACGACCAGCCACACUGGGACUGAGACACGGCCCAGACUCCUACGGGAGGCAGCAGUGGGGAAUCUUGGACAAUGGGCGAAAGCCUGAUCCAGCCAUGCCGCGUGGAUGAUGAAGGCCUUAGGGUUGUAAAAUCCUUUCGUUGGGGACGAUAAUGACGGUACGGGUAGAAGAAGCCCCGGCUAACUACGUGCCAGCAGCCGCGGUAAGACGUAGGGGGCCAGCGUUGCUCGGAAUUACUGGGCGUAAAGGGUCCGUAGGCGGUGCGGCAAGUCGGGGGUGAAAUCUCUGGGCUUAACUCAGAGGCUGCCUCCGAAACUGCCGUGCUCGAGUGCGGGAGAGGCGAGCGGAAUUGCAGGUGUAGCGGUGAAAUGCGUAGAUAUCUGCAGG